CGGGGUUUACAAGAUUACUUGCACAGUUUUUAAUAGGUAGGAUAGCAGUGCGUUAAGUUGCGUAUAUGGUGAAUAUUAAAGUACCAGCUACGUCUCGAGAAAUAGCAUUAAGUCACUUAGCGGGAACAUAUUUGAAACAGUGCUCUAAAUUACAUAUACGGUGAACAAUGAGAUAUUAGCUAUGUCUAGAGAUACAUCAGGUUCGCUUAUAGUAGACAAACAUUAAACAUGCUUAAGUGUACAUUUGUUAACUGUUUUGGGAAUACUUACAUAU